GCAAGAGAACGAAGCGGCUUCGUUUUGCCGUUUCGGUCGCUCUAUAUAAACACUGUAAACCCAAAACCCUAACUCUAGAACACUCUUUCCUCAAAAGGAUUUUUGGUUUCCGAGGACUAGUGUUCUCAAACCUAGCUUUAUUUCUCACGCCCUAGGUGAUGAUAAAACAGACAGGGACAUCUGUACUCCUUCGGAGGAUGAUGACUUGUUCUAAUGGGAAUCUCUCUGAUGCAGAGUAUUUGCACUCACUAACAUAUGUGCUUUUUAAGAUAUAAUCAGUGUGUCUUGUUUUCCAACCUCUGUUCUUAUUUCGUCUUUAAGUUGAAUGAAAUUUUUUAAUCGAACUAUAUGUUCUUGGGAUGUUACUUUUGGGGUUCUCUGUGUUCAACAUUGCACUAUUUUCAUAUUAUGAAUCGUGGUUUGAAUGGAUUAUGUCUUUCUCAUUUUGAUAUUA